rnacentral:rRNA from 1 species
AGAGUUUGAUCCUGGCUCAGGACGAACGCUGGCGGCGUGCCUAACACAUGCAAGUCGAGCGAUGAAGCCCUUCGGGGUGGAUUAGCGGCGGACGGGUGAGUAACACGUGGGUAACCUGCCUCAAAGAGGGGGAUAGCCUCCCGAAAGGGAGAUUAAUACCGCAUAACAUUAGUUUUUCGCAUGAAAAACUAAUUAAAGGAGCAAUCCGCUUUGAGAUGGACCCGCGGCGCAUUAGCUAGUUGGUGAGGUAACGGCUCACCAAGGCGACGAUGCGUAGCCGACCUGAGAGGGUGAUCGGCCACAUUGGAACUGAGACACGGUCCAGACUCCUACGGGAGGCAGCAGUGGGGAAUAUUGCACAAUGGGCGAAAGCCUGAUGCAGCAACGCCGCGUGAGUGAUGAAGGCCUUCGGGUUGUAAAGCUCUGUCUUUUGGGACGAUAAUGACGGUACCAAAGGAGGAAGCCACGGCUAACUACGUGCCAGCAGCCGCGGUAAUACGUAGGUGGCGAGCGUUGUCCGGAUUUACUGGGCGUAAAGGAUGCGUAGGCGGAUAUUUAAGUGAGAUGUGAAAUACCCGAGCUUAACUUGGGUGCUGCAUUUCAAACUGGAUAUCUAGAGUGCGGGAGAGGAGAAUGGAAUUCCUAGUGUAGCGGUGAAAUGCGUAGAGAUUAGGAAGAACACCAGUGGCGAAGGCGAUUCUCUGGACCGUAACUGACGCUGAGGCAUGAAAGCGUGGGUAGCAAACAGGAUUAGAUACCCUGGUAGUCCACGCCGUAAACGAUGAGUACUAGGUGUAGGGGGGUCCAGCCUUCUGUGCCGCAGUUAACACAAUAAGUACUCCGCCUGGGAAGUACGAUCGCAAGAUUAAAACUGAAAUGAAUUGACGGA